rnacentral:lncRNA from 1 species
GACGUGGAAUGGGACUCCUUGACCAUUUCCAUUGGUGAUAGGACUUCUCCAAAUGGCUGAAGACCAAAGCAAACUUGGAGGUUCAGGAAAGUCCUUGGAUGUGAAAACUGCAAAAAGUCCUCCCUGUGGACUGUACCUGAUCCAGGCCACCCAGGAAUCCAGAGGGAGACCCAGCCAUCCUCCAGCCAUUCUAGGUCCCUGAUAAGGACUUCUCACUGGCCUGGAGCUUGUCACUAAGCCAUCCUGAUUGUCCAGAGAGCCCAGGGUCCCUCUUAUCCCCGCCUCUUGAGUGCCGGCAUCUCAAGUACAAGCCACUGUGCCUGAUUUUUCAUGCAGGUUCCAGGGACCAAACUCAAGUCCUCGUGUUUGCAAUGUAUUGACUGAGCCGUGUCCCCUGCUCCAUGUCCUAAGGGAGAAGAGAGCCACCUCUCCCUGGAAGGCACUGGUGCAUUCCAGAAGAGUCUUUCUGCAUGCUUGGAAGCACGCAGAAAAGAGGGACCCUGUGAGCCUUUCUGGGUGAAACUGGACCUACUUCAGCUCUGACAUCAGGAUCUCUGUGUACCCGAGGAGGAGAUGUAAAGCCAAAAGGUCAUGGCAAGAGGCUCUGAAGCUGUCCCUGCCUGAACUCAUCACCUUGGACUCUGCAUAGGAGGUCCUGGGAAAGGUGGUUGGGUGGCCACUCUCAUACAGAAGGUCCCACAAUGGUUUGGCUGGAGCUGGAGCUCAAACUUGGAGCUUCAGCCACUGUUGUUUAAAUGUAGGGGUUUUGGAAAAUU